rnacentral:hammerhead_ribozyme from 1 species
AUUCUGCUGAUGAGUUCAGAAUAGAACGAAACGUGCGUUCAGCAU